GGCACUACGGUGCUGAAGCAACAAAUGCCCUGCUUCCAGGAAAAGCCUCUAAGCAUCAGGUAACAUCAAAUCGUACCCCAAACCGACACAGGUGGUCAGGUAGAGAAUACCAAGGCGCUUGAGAGAACUCGGGUGAAGGAACUAGGCAAAAUGGUGCCGUAACUUCGGGAGAAGGCACGCUGAUAUGUAGGUGAAGCGACUUGCUCGUGGAGCUGAAAUCAGUCGAAGAUACCAGCUGGCUGCAACUGUUUAUUAAAAACACAGCACUGUGCAAACACGAAAGUGGACGUAUACGGUGUGACGCCUGCCCGGUGCCGGAAGGUUAAUUGAUGGGGUUAGCGCAAGCGAAGCUCUUGAUCGAAGCCCCGGUAAACGGCGGCCGUAACUAUAACGGUCCUAAGGUAGCGAAAUUCCUUGUCGGGUAAGUUCCGACCUGCACGAAUGGCGUAAUGAUGGCCAGGCUGUCUCCACCCGAGACUCAGUGAAAUUGAACUCGCUGUGAAGAUGCAGUGUACCCGCGGCAAGACGGAAAGACCCCGUGAACCUUUACUAUAGCUUGACACUGAACAUUGAGCCUUGAUGUGUAGGAUAGGUGGGAGGCUUUGAAGUGUGGACGCCAGUCUGCAUGGAGCCGACCUUGAAAUACCACCCUUUAAUGUUUGAUGUUCUAACGUUGGCCCGUUAUCCGGGUUGCGGACAGUGUCUGGUGGGUAGUUUGACUGGGGCGGUCUCCUCCUAAAGAGUAACGGAGGAGCACGAAGGUUGGCUAAUCCUGGUCGGACAUCAGGAGGUUAGUGCAAUGGCAUAAGCCAGCUUGACUGCGAGCGUGACGGCGCGAGCAGGUGCGAAAGCAGGUCAUAGUGAUCCGGUGGUUCUGAAUGGAAGGGCCAUCGCUCAACGGAUAAAAGGUACUCCGGGGAUAACAGGCUGAUACCGCCCAAGAGUUCAUAUCGACGGCGGUGUUUGGCACCUCGAUGUCGGCUCAUCACAUCCUGGGGCUGAAGUAGGUCCCAAGGGUAUGGCUGUUCGCCAUUUAAAGUGGUACGCGAGCUGGGUUUAGAACGUCGUGAGACAGUUCGGUCCCUAUCUGCCGUGGGCGCUGGAGAACUGAGGGGGGCUGCUCCUAGUACGAGAGGACCGGAGUGGACGCAUCACUGGUGUUCGGGUUGUCAUGCCAAUGGCACUGCCCGGUAGCUAAAUGCGGAAGAGAUAAGUGCUGAAAGCAUCUAAGCACGAAACUUGCCCCG
rnacentral:rRNA from 1 species